UACGUAGGGUGCGAGCGUUGUCCGGAAUUAUUGGGCGUAAAGAGCUUGUAGGCGGUUUGUCGCGUCUGCUGUGAAAUUUCGGGGCUCAACCCCGAACUUGCAGUGGGUACGGGCAGACUAGAGUGUGGUAGGGGAGACUGGAAUUCCUGGUGUAGCGGUGAAAUGCGCAGAUAUCAGGAGGAACACCGAUGGCGAAGGCAGGUCUCUGGGCCACUACUGACGCUGAGGAGCGAAAGCGUGGGGAGCGAACAGG
rnacentral:rRNA from 1 species